rnacentral:rRNA from 1 species
AGGAGCAACCAUAUCAGCACUAAUGCACCGGAUCCCAUCAGAAACUUCGAAGUUAAGCGCUUGGGCGAGAAUAGUUCUAAGAUGAGCUUGUCUUAUGACUUUUA